AUUGAACGCUGGCGGCAGGCCUAACACAUGCAAGUCGAACGGUAACAGGAAGAAGCUUGCUUCUUUGCUGACGAGUGGCGGACGGGUGAGUAAUGUCUGGGAAACUGCCUGAUGGAGGGGGAUAACUACUGGAAACGGUAGCUAAUACCGCAUAACGUCGCAAGACCAAAGAGGGGGACCUUCGGGCCUCUUGCCAUCGGAUGUGCCCAGAUGGGAUUAGCUAGUAGGUGGGGUAACGGCUCACCUAGGCGACGAUCCCUAGCUGGUCUGAGAGGAUGACCAGCCACACUGGAACUGAGACACGGUCCAGACUCCUACGGGAGGAAGCAGUGGGGAAUAUUGCACAAUGGGCGCAAGCCUGAUGCAGCCAUGCCGCGUGUAUGAAGAAGGCCUUCGGGUUGUAAAGUACUUUCAGCGGGGAGGAAGGGAGUAAAGUUAAUACCUUUGCUCAUUGACGUUACCCGCAGAAGAAGCACCGGCUAACUCCGUA
rnacentral:rRNA from 1 species